CAGCAGCCGCGGGAAUACGAAGGGUGCAAGCGUUAAUCGGAAUUACUGGGCGUAAAGCGUGCGUAGGCGGUGAGUUAAGUCUGCUGUGAAAUCCCCGGGCUCAACCUGGGAAUGGCAGUGGAUACUGGCUCGCUAGAGUGUGUCAGAGGAUGGUGGAAUUCCCGGUGUAGCGGUGAAAUGCGUAGAGAUCGGGAGGAACAUCAGUGGCGAAGGCGGCCAUCUGGGACAACACUGACGCUGAGGCACGAAAGCGUGGGAGCAAACAGGAUUAGAUACCCGAGUAGUCCCUGUCUCUUAUACC
rnacentral:rRNA from 1 species